rnacentral:ribozyme from 1 species
AAAGGAAUGAAACGAAAAAGGGUUGGUUGGGUUAAAAAAUGAAGACAUUUUUUUAACCGAGUUUUUUUUCUUUUUUCUAUGAAACCCCCAUCACUGUCUUUUUCUUUUUCUUUUUUGUUCACUUUCUCUGUCU